UAGUAAACUUUGCAAACCCAAAAUUACCAAUGUUCUGUCAAAAAUAGAUUUAUGAAUUUUACAGUCAAUAUACAUAUGAACAGCUGAGCAACAUCAAUCUCACACUGCAAGGUUAGAUACAGGGUAGCAAAGUUAUAUUAUGAUCGAGUUGUGCUCUUGCCCAAUGUUAUUUUAAUGACACUGAAUCACACUGUACAAUAUCAGUCAGAGUCAGAACUAAUAGUGUAACAUCUUAAAACAUUUAAAUAAAAUAGAUGCCCCAAUCAUUCAACAAAUUUAAUUGAAUUGCAUUUUCACAUAUAAAAGUGUAGUUUAUUUGCAGGUUCAUUGACGUGUCAAAAUGGCCUGGGUCAACACACAUGACGCCUCUGUCUUUGACAGCUUUGGUUUGAACUUUGAAGAUAUGACAAUAAAUAAUGUGCAUUUAUGGAUAUACCAUUUGAGGGACUAUGGCUAGUAUUGUGAAAAAGUGAAAUACUACUGUAAUGAUCAUGGAAAUAUUUUAGUUUUUACAUCAAUGCAUUGCACAUUACUUAAAUAUAAUGUGUUAAAUGCAAAUACAUAAUUUAACAUUUUAAUUUCUUUUAACAAACAGAGAAGAUUAAAUUAUAUUAGUUUAUAUCUGUAAAAUUAAGUGUAUCUACACAUAAAAGAUGCAAAUCAAUGUUGAAUUUAUAAUUGAAAUUAAUUUAAGAUUGCGUCAAGCUUAUAAGCAUCCUAUAGCUACCUUAAUAAACCAUUUAACUGAUGAUUGUUCCAACUUAAACCUAGCUUUUUUGAAUUUUUCAUUAGACCUUUCCUGGAAGAAAACCACCUGGGAAACCUACUUGGCGACUCCGGCUAUUCGUUAAAAAAAUAUGUAUAAACGCCCUUGCUUAGGCCAACAACAGAUACAGUGGUUAGGUACAACCAUGCCCAGUCAAGUUGUUGGAUUGUGGUUGAGAGGGCUUUUGGACUGCUGAUAGUAGAUUAAGGUGUCUACAUAAAACUGGAGGAUGUUUAUUCAUGAGACUCAAUAAGUGCUGUCAAUCAGUGGAUGCAUGAAUGCGCCUACACAACUUUAGCAUAGAUCAGCAGCAUGCUCCAAGCUAGAAGUGGAGCCGGUGGGUCGCUGGUUCGAGGCCCUGUGCCUGCGUCGCCGCCACAAGCACACUCUGUCUCAGCAUUCCCUGACCAGCUCGAGCUCCUCCGAGAGCGAGGAUGACCUUGAUGAUGAGCAGGAUGAGGAGUCCCUGCUACUCAGUCUCGAUCCAAAGGAGUGGAAG